rnacentral:rRNA from 1 species
CCUACGGGGCGCAGCAGUGGGGAAUAUUGGACAAUGGGCGAAAGCCUGAUCCAGCCAUGCCGCGUGUGUGAAGAAGGCCUUCGGGUUGUAAAGCACUUUCAGUGGGGAAGAAAGCCUUGGGGCUAAUACCCUCGAGGAAGGACAUCACCCACAGAAGAAGCACCGGCUAACUCCGUGCCAGCAGCCGCGGUAAUACGGAGGGUGCGAGCGUUAAUCGGAAUUACUGGGCGUAAAGCGCGCGUAGGCGGUCUGAUAAGCCGGUUGUGAAAGCCCCGGGCUCAACCUGGGAACGGCAUCCGGAACUGUCAGGCUAGAGUGCAGGAGAGGAAGGUAGAAUUCCCGGUGUAGCGGUGAAAUGCGUAGAGAUCGGGAGGAAUACCAGUGGCGAAGGCGGCCUUCUGGACUGACACUGACGCUGAGGUGCGAAAGCGUGGGUAGCAAACAGGAUUAGAUACCCUAGUAGUC